ACACUCUUAGCGGUGGAUCACUUGGCUUGUGGAUCGAUGAAGAACGCAGCUAGCUGCGAUAAAUAGUGCGAAUUGCAGACGCAUUGAGCACAAAAAUUUCGAAUGCAUAUUGCACCAUUGGGUUCAUUCCCGAUGGUACAUUUGGUUGAGGGUCAA
rnacentral:rRNA from 1 species